rnacentral:rRNA from 1 species
GAGUUUGAUCAUGGCUCAGAUUGAACGCUGGCGGCAGGCCUAACACAUGCAAGUCGAGCGGAUGAAGGGAGCUUGCUCCUGGAUUCAGCGGUGGACGGGUGAGUAAUGCCUAGGAAUCUGCCUGGUAGUGGGGGAUAACGUCCGGAAACGGGCGCUAAUACCGCAUACGUCCUGAGGGAGAAAGUGGGGAUCUUCGGACCUCACGCUAUCAGAUGAGCCUAGGUCGGAUUAGCUAGUUGGUGGGGUAAAGGCCUACCAAGGCGACGAUCCGUAACUGGUCUGAGAGGAUGAUCAGUCACACUGGAACUGAGACACGGUCCAGACUCCUACGGGAGGCAGCAGUGGGAAUAUUGGACAAUGGGCGAAAGCCUGAUCCAGCCAUGCCGCGUGUGUGAAGAAGGUCUUCGGAUUGUAAAAGCACUUUAAGUUGGGAGGAAGGGCAGUAAGUUAAUACCUUGCUGUUUUGACGCUACCAACAGAAUAAGCACCGGCUAACUUCGUGCCAGCCGCCG